UGUUAGCGGCGGACGGGUGAGUAACACGUGGGUAACCUGCCUGUAAGACUGGGAUAACUCCGGGAAACCGGGGCUAAUACCGGAUGCUUGUUUGAACCGCAUGGUUCAGACAUAAAAGGUGGCUUCGGCUACCACUUACAGAUGGACCCGCGGCGCAUUAGCUAGUUGGUGAGGUAACGGCUCACCAAGGCGACGAUGCGUAGCCGACCUGAGAGGGUGAUCGGCCACACUGGGACUGAGACACGGCCCAGACUCCUACGGGAGGCAGCAGUAGGGAAUCUUCCGCAAUGGACGAAAGUCUGACGGAGCAACGCCGCGUGAGUGAUGAAGGUUUUCGGAUCGUAAAGCUCUGUUGUUAGGGAAGAACAAGUGCCGUUCAAAUAGGGCGGCACCUUGACGGUACCUAACCAGAAAGCCACGGCUAACUACGUGCCAGCAGCCGCGGUAAUACGUAGGUGGCAAGCGUUGUCCGGAAUUAUUGGGCGUAAAGGGCUCGCAGGCGGUUUCUUAAGUCUGAUGUGAAAGCCCCCGGCUCAACCGGGGAGGGUCAUUGGAAACUGGGGAACUUGAGUGCAGAAGAGGAGAGUGGAAUUCCACGUGUAGCGGUGAAAUGCGUAGAGAUGUGGAGGAACACCAGUGGCGAAGGCGACUCUCUGGUCUGUAACUGACGCUGAGGAGCGAAAGCGUGGGGAGCGAACAGGAUUAGAUACCCUGGUAGUCCACGCCGUAAACGAUGAGUGCUAAGUGUUAGGGGGUUUCCGCCCCUUAGUGCUGCAGCUAACGCAUUAAGCACUCCGCCUGGGGAGUACGGUCGCAAGACUGAUACUCAUAGGAAUUGACGAGGGCCCGCACAACCGGUGGAGCAUGUGGUUUAUUCAAAGCAACGCGAAGAACUUUACAAGGCUUGACAUCCUCUGACAAUCCUAGA
rnacentral:rRNA from 1 species